CCUUUGAGCUACUACAGCGAGGCUAAGCUAGUGGGGGCAAAGUUUCAGUGCAUUCCGUUGAUGUAGACGGCGUGAAAACAGAAACAACAAGUAUGCCGGCUCACUGUGCUGCAUACAGUUACACACUACGUCGUACGAUUGAGACAAGGAAACUUGGAAUGACUUUUCAUAGGUUUCCCAGAGACUAUGGGUUGAGGAGGAAUUGGAAGUUUGUCGGCUUAGACCUGGUGUCAUUCCAUCAGUGUUAAACUUCCCGGCUCAUCUUGGAAGAGUACGUGCCAGAAAGACCAUGACCAAGCAGCCUUGAGAUCUGAGGCAGCGUCUCCCUCAGACCAAAGAACUACAGACUCUUCACAACCUGCUCAAACUCUUGGUACAGGACCUCACCACACGGGUCAAGAAGGUUUCCGUCUCAUUUCUACUCUGAAGCUCACCUUCUCCUGCUCAAACUGCUGACAAAUGUUUCUGCUGCUCUAAAGUCUGCUCUCCAGAACUUCCUAAAAACUCUCAAAGUCUCUUCUGCUGCAGGUUGCUUUGUAGAACUGUUGCAGAAAACCUCACUAAACCACAUGGAGGGGCCUCAAGAUAGUCCAAAUGAAACCAUACAAAAACCAAACUAGCACAACCCAAACGCUAAAGUCUCCUGCAGCCUACCAGAGAACCUCUGAGAACAGAGAAUCAGGACAGGAACUCUUACCUUCUGGACAAUCAACAUCGGUUCUCAAACAAGAACACAGAAUGUGUCUGACCAAAAACCUCUAAAGACUCACUACAGCCAAGAUAAAGACACAACUCAACUGUACCAAAUCCACUAAUCACUGCAUACAUUAGCACCAUGUGCUAACUGUGGCUAAAGAACCACCUUUACCAAGACAACUAUCCAGUACAAAGCCCUAAAACACACCAAGAAACACAUUAAAGACGAUUUUACUGCUGGAAGCUGCAAGCCAACGUCUAAAGAACAAACUAAAGCAAUGGAGCCAAACCCAGUUCUGUGGUGAAGAGAAGCAGAGGAAAUGUUUGUCUGCAGCUAAAUAAAGCAGGAAGACACUGAGCUGCUCAGGUGUUCCUAAUAACACCAAGCAGCCACCUGGACAGCCAAUAGGAACACAGCUUACUGGAAGUCCAGAGGGCUGGGUUAGUGAAGGAAAUUUAGUUUCAAGUUGAGGCAGAAAGUUAACAAAGAAAGUUGAAAACCACCUUCUGAUACCUGAAAUCUCUGAGUUUUCACACAAAGAACACCUGAACAUGUCAAACUGGCUUCAUAGUAGAACCAUCAUUGUAAAAACGUCAUAGUAUGGUGUGUUGCUCAAAAAACAUUAUGACCCGGCUGUCAGGGGACAAACAUGUAAGAAACAUGAGAACAGAGAGAACCCAACCAGUAGGUCACAGUUUAUCAUCCCCCAGUCAUCUCCUGAAGUCCAUAUGGUGAGAGACAUCAGUAUCUGGUUGUUAAUUUACCAGAGGAUGCUUAUAAUCAUGCUGAUGUGGUCUGUACUCUACAGUAUUUUAGUGACUCAAUAAAUGCCUAAGUUGUUUUUUUUUUAAUGCUUUUCAGUUUUUAAUAAACAUUUAAGAGCCAAUAUGUAAUCAAUAAAUGGCCUUUAUCUAUCUUAAGAAAAAUUCACUCAGACCUCUGAUAUGUUAACAGUACUAAAUAAAUCAAUAAAUACAUGCAUACACACAAAAAUAAGUUAAUACAUUAACUGUGUUAAGAUAAGAUUUAGAUUUUUUUAAAAAAAGUUAUGUUUUUGCAGAAUCCAGUAUUGCUCACUGGUUGGUCAUUACAUUUUAUUAGUUUGAUUUCACUGUUUAAAAUGAUGCCACCUCUUUUCAGACAGAACCUGUGAUAAUAAAACAAUACAAAAUUUUUAGUUCCGUGUUAAUAAAGCACUUAAAGCUUUAAGUAUGGCUAAAUGCUUUUUUCAAAAUUAAAUAUAUCACUCCUUAGGUGUUAGUGGCCCCAAGUUCAGUAAAGUUGGAAAGAUAUUCACAGAUUUGGACUUCCAGCAUCAAUAACUCAUUAGAUAUAGGUUGUCAAAACAUAAACGGUGCCUCUUUCCCAUUGUUGCAAGGCAGACAAUGUGCUACAACCCCAGUUUUAUCAAAAGUAGCUGUCUUUCAAGCUACAGGAAUAACAUUGGUGUCUAUGGAGUGAACAGGGUCCGUCUGCAAUUUGCAAAACCGCUGCAACAGUAAAGAGAGACAAAUAUUCAAUAACUUCACUCUUAUACAUUGUAGUGUCACUAAAAUCACUGCAGCCUUCAACUGGCUCCUGUUGACAAAAUGUUUAAACAGAAAUGUAAAUGCUGUAAUUUGAUUCUUUUAAUGAACUAUGUAACUUGAAUGGAUGUGAUGCUGGUAUGACCACAGUGCACACGUCUGAUGUUGCUCACAGUGGUCCAAGGGACGCUCAGGGAGUUUGUGUGUUUGCUCAGACUCAUGAAAAAUUAGAGGGAACAUUGUUUGGGACUCAAGCAGUUCCUUCUUUUACUCACUAUCUCCCCAGCCUUAGGAAAAAAAAACCUGUUCACACGGCACAGAUGAGGCUGAGGUACACAGGAAAUGUUUGGCUCCAUUGUACAAGUUUGGGUAAACGGUUUUGUGGGUUGCCCAGUAAGCCAGUGGGUCUGCCGUUCUUUCUACAAUUGCUUUGCAUUUGCCAGGCUCUACUUGCGUCUUCGUCUAAUAGGCUCCACAGUUGAACUGAAAAAUAUUGAAGAUCAUCAUCAUCAUCACCAGAAAUGUCAGUCAUUCCCUAUUCAGAAGAGAAAAAGAAUACCUGUGGAAGGUGCUGCUGGUGGUGGAGGACGAGGCUGUGGUGGUGCUUGUGACGUAGAUGACUGCUGCUUGGCAUUCUUUAUGUUAACUGUUGUGCAUUCUGUUAUUAAAUGUUCUUUCACACUGGC